GAACUGGAAGACGACGAAGAAGAAGCGUGGGAAUCCGGCGGCAAUGGCUGGGAUGACUGAACUUACGGGAAGGAGUGCUUCCAAGAUGGAAGACCAAGAAGAAGAAGCCGCUGAAUCCGGCGGCAAUGGCUGGGGUGCUGCGGUCUCGAGAAGAAGCGUUAUUUCUGCAUUCCAAGAAGGACGGCACAAUGUGUCGGACUGUCCGCGUCGCAUUGAACUGGUCCGAUGAGGCUGCUAUUGCACACACAGUGAGGGAACUCCCAUACGGGAACUCGGAAGUACUGCUACAGUACAGGUAUAUCACCCCGUGACGACCACAUCGAAGUCUGAAAUUGAAGUGUGAAGAUGCUUCAGCAACCCCUUCAUAUUUUUCCAUUGCUUUUAUUGUGCUUCUACUGUGCAUGUGAUGGCAAUGUAUGCCGGUGACACGGUCAGAUUUUGUCCAUGCGUGUAACGUACACCUGCAUGCUAUCGUUGAAAAGGAUCUGCCACUUACGAUCUUCGGACGAGUAUCAGGUCAGCUUGGUUUUGUGUGGGCUGUACCAGAUGCUGUUCACUUCUCUAUCUGUUGGAUAUGUGACUUUCUGCAAGUUUCUGGUGUAUGGUGGCCACUUCUUUGCUUGUCUUUGUAUGACAUUACAAUAAUUCUGUAUUCACUGCUUCCAUGGUGUGGUCUGCAAACUGCAAUCCUUAGGCAAAUAUCAUCACGCUGCAAUGUUGUGCUUUGGCCGCCAGCUUACCUACACAUUGUAGUUGAAUUAUUUUUGUU